UGGGGAAUUUUGGACAAUGGGCGAAAGCCUGAUCCAGCAAUGCCGCGUGUGUGAAGAAGGCCUUCGGGUUGUAAAGCACUUUUGUCCGGAAAGAAAUCCUUGGCUCUAAUACAGUCGGGGGAUGACGGUACCGGAAGAAUAAGCACCGGCUAACUACGUGCCAGCAGCCGCGGUAAUACGUAGGGUGCAAGCGUUAAUCGGAAUUACUGGGCGUAAAGCGUGCGCAGGCGGUUUUGUAAGACGGAUGUGAAAUCCCCGGGCUUAACCUGGGAACUGCAUUCGUGACUGCAAGGCUAGAGUAUGGCAGAGGGGGGUAGAAUUCCACGUGUAGCAGUGAAAUGCGUAGAGAUGUGGAGGAAUACCGAUGGCGAAGGCAGCCCCCUGGGCCAAUACUGACGCUCAUGCACGAAAGCGUGGGGAGCAAACAGGAUUAGAUACCCUGGUAGUCCACGCCCUAAAACGAUGUCAACUAGUUGUUGGGGGAUUCAUUUCCUUAGUAACGUAGCUAACGCGUGAAGUUGACCGCCUGGGGAGUACGGUCGCAAGAUUAAAACUCAAAGGAAUUGACGGGGUCAUAGCUGUUUCC
rnacentral:rRNA from 1 species